rnacentral:rRNA from 1 species
GACGAACGCUGGCGGCGUGCCUAACACAUGCAAGUCGAACGGAACUGUUUUGAAAGAUUUCUUCGGAAUGAAUUUGAUUUAGUUUAGUGGCGGACGGGUGAGUAACGCGUGAGUAACCUGCCUUCAAGAGGGGGAUAACAUUCUGAAAAGAAUGCUAAUACCGCAUGACAUAUCGGAACCACAUGGUUUUGAUAUCAAAGAUUUUAUCGCUUGAAGAUGGACUCGCGUCCGAUUAGUUAGUUGGUGAGGUAACGGCUCACCAAGACCGCGAUCGGUAGCCGGACUGAGAGGUUGAACGGCCACAUUGGGACUGAGACACGGCCCAGACUCCUACGGGAGGCAGCAGUGGGGGAUAUUGCGCAAUGGGGGCAACCCUGACGCAGCAACGCCGCGUGAAGGAUGAAGGUUUUCGGAUUGUAAACUUCUUUUAUUAAGGACGAAAAAUGACGGUACUUAAUGAAUAAGC